CAAUAGCGUAUAUUAACGUUGUUGCAGUUAAAAAGCUCGUAGUUGGAUUUCUGGAGGGAGCGUCGGCCCGUAUUUACGAGUGCGUGACGUCUCUGUCCAUCCUUGCGGGAAGGCACGGCAUUGAUUUGUUGUGUCGGAUCGCAUCAUUUACUGUGAAAAAAUUAGAGUGUUCAAAGCAGGCUUUCGCUUGAAUACAUUAGCAUGGAAUAAUAAGAUAGGACCUUGGUACUAUUUUGUUGGUUUGCGCACCAAGGUAAUGAUUAAUAGGGACAGUUGGGGGUAUUCGUAUUUCAUUGUCAGAGGUGAAAUUCUUGGAUUUUUGAAAGACGAACUACUGCGAAAGCAUUUACCAAGGAUGUUUUCAUUAA
rnacentral:rRNA from 1 species